rnacentral:rRNA from 1 species
GAUGAACGCUGGCGGCGUGCCUAAUACAUGCAAGUCGAGCGAACAGAUGAGGAGCUUGCUCCUCUGACGUUAGCGGCGGACGGGUGAGUAACACGUGGAUAACCUACCUAUAAGACUGGGAUAACUUCGGGAAACCGGAGCUAAUACCGGAUAAUAUAUUGAACCGCAUGGUUCAAUAGUGAAAGACGGUUUUGCUGUCACUUAUAGAUGGAUCCGCGCCGCAUUAGCUAGUUGGUAAGGUAACGGCUUACCAAGGCAACGAUGCGUAGCCGACCUGAGAGGGUGAUCGGCCACACUGGAACUGAGACACGGUCCAAACUCCUACGGGAGGCAGCAGUAGGGAAUCUUCCGCAAUGGGCGAAAGCCUGACGGAGCAACGCCGCGUGAGUGAUGAAGGUCUUCGGAUCGUAAAACUCUGUUAUUAGGGAAGAACAAAUGUGUAAGUAACUAUGCACGUCUUGACGGUACCUAAUCAGAAAGCCACGGCUAACUACGUA